UACGUAGGGGGCUAGCGUUGUCCGGAAUCAUUGGGCGUAAAGAGCGUGUAGGCGGCUUGGUAAGUCCGCUGUGAAAGUCCAGGGCUCAACCCCGGAAAGCCAGUGGAUACUGUCAAGCUAGAGUCCGGAAGAGGCGAGUGGAAUUCCUGGUGUAGCGGUGAAAUGCGCAGAUAUCAGGAGGAACACCAAUGGCGAAGGCAGCUCGCUGGGACGGUACUGACGCUGAGACGCGAAAGCGUGGGGAGCAAACAGG
rnacentral:rRNA from 1 species